GCAAUCGCAAUGACGAUAACGAUGACGAUGUCGAUUACCAACUGCCGUUCAAUGCUUGGCAGCUUUCAUAAAUUAUGUAUCCCGACUUUCACGCCU
rnacentral:snoRNA from 1 species